rnacentral:rRNA from 1 species
UACAGAGGUGGCAAGCGUUGUUCGGAAUUACUGGGCGUAAAGGGCGCGUAGGCGGCCUUCUAAGUCGGACGUGAAAGCCCCAGGCUUAACCUGGGAACUGCGUCCGAUACUGGGAGGCUUGGAUUCGGGAGAGGGAUGUGGAAUUCCAGGUGUAGCGGUGAAAUGCGUAGAUAUCUGGAGGAACACCUGUGGCGAAGGCGGCCCCCUGGGCCGGCCCUGACACUGAGACGCGAAGGCGUGGGGAGCGAACGGG